rnacentral:sRNA from 12 species
CCUUUGGAGAGUACAAGGAACUAUGAGUAGAUAACUUAGUUGUUAUAACUUAGUUGUUAUUGAAAAUAUACUCAUUGAAUAAGGAA